CCCCCGUCUGUCUCCAAGUGAUUCUGAUGAAUGUUCAGGUUUGAGAACCGCCGCCCUAGAGGCUUGGGAAGGGGUAAGAUGUGAGAAUUCAUUCAUAAAACAAGUUCUUCUGCUUUUUAAAACGUAUGAAAAGGUAAGAAAAAGGUGUGUCUUCUCAACUUUGGGUCAAAAGACAGUUUCUACGAGAAGGUAAACUCUGAGAACAGAACGAGGCAGGGAAGACACAUACUAUGACAACGAAUGGGAUCAAGAUGACAUCAGGUCAAAGGAACUUGUGACUUAAAGCACAGUUAAGGGGCGCCUGGGUGGCGCAGUCGGUUAAGUGUCCGACUUCAGCCAGG